AACGAACGCUGGCGGCGUGCCUAACACAUGCAAGUCGAGCGAAACGUCCGGGCGGGGUGGCCCACCGGUGCGUGAGUGGGUGGGACCUGCCCAUAGGGUCGGAAUAACUCGCCGAACGGGGUGAUAAGGGGGGUUAUUGUCGUCAGCCCAAAGAUUGAUCGCGUUUGGAUGGGCCCGCGUUUGAUUAGCUAGUUGGGAGGGUAAAAGCCUACCAAGGCGUGGAUCCGUUGCUGGGCUGAGAGGAUGAUCAGCCACACUGGAGCUGAGACACGGACCAAAAUCCUACGCAAGGGAGCAGUGGAGAAUAUUGGACGCUGGGGGAAGGUCUGAUGAAGCAAUGCGGGGGGAGUGAUGCAGGCCUUAGGGUUGUAAAGCUCUCUUACCCGGGAUGAUAGUGACGGUACCGGGAGAAUAAGCUCCGGCUAACUACGUG
rnacentral:rRNA from 1 species